rnacentral:rRNA from 1 species
UACGUAGGGGGCAAGCGUUGUCCGGAUUUAUUGGGCGUAAAGAGCGUGUAGGCGGCCUGAAAGGUCAGCUGUGAAAACUCGAGGCUCAACCUCGAGACGUCGGUUGAAACCAUCUGGCUAGAGUCCGGAAGAGGAGUGUGGAAUUCCCGGUGUAGCGGUGAAAUGCGCAGAUAUCGGGAAGAACACCCGUGGCGAAGGCGGCACUCUGGGACGGUACUGACGCUGAGACGCGAAAGCGUGGGGAGCCGAACGAGG